rnacentral:lncRNA from 1 species
CCUAGGGCUGCUCUGGGGGUAAGGGUCCCCAGAGCUGCUCUGGGGGUAAGGGUCCCCAGAGAACAUGCCAGAAGGGUAGCCACCCCCUCUGACUUUAUUAACCUGAACCAAGGGGUAAGGGUCCCUUGGACAGUUCCUAUAACUCGGCCGAUCAUAUUUACAUUGAAUGAGUCUAUGGGCAUGAAGGUGACCUUUGGGAGCACUUCAACCCCACAAAUACAAUAAAGUGUAUCUGACACUUGAGUGUAUUCCCCAUAGACGAACAAUCCCACUCACACAACAGCUGUAUUCAUAUAGAGGACAGCUUUUGCCAGAUGAUAGUAAGGCUUGUGCAUGUUUGAGAAUUACCAUCGCUUAUACUACAGCUGGAUAAUCAGGGAGGCCAGGAAAAUCCUGCAAAACAGGAAACCUGAAUGGGGCCAAGACAGUUAACCAGCAGCUUCCCCACAAAGCUUCUAGGUUACAACUUCUCAAUAGGAGCGUUGGUAACGCGACAAACAUAGCUCUAUCUUGGCAAUUUUUUAUUUAUUUUUUUUAUUAUUUUUUUUUU